rnacentral:rRNA from 1 species
GCGAACACUGGCGGCAGGCCUAAUACAUGCAAGUCGAACGGCUUCUUCGGAAGCAGUGGCGGACGGGUGAGUAACGCGUGGGAACGUGCCCUUUGGUACGGAACAACUGAGGGAAACUUCAGCUAAUACCGUAUGUGACCUUCGGGGGAAAGAUUUAUCGCCAUUGGAGCGGCCCGCGUUAGAUUAGCUAGUUGGUGGGGUAAAGGCCUACCAAGGCAACGAUCUCUAGCUGGUCUGAGAGGAGGAUUAGCCACACUGGGACUGAGCCGCGGCCCGGACUGCGUCGGGAGGCAGCAGUAGUGAAUCUUGCGGGUUGGGCGAAAGCCUGACGCAGCCAUGCUGCGUUAGUGAUGAAGGUCUUAGGAUUGUAAAAUUCUUUCACCGGGGACGAUAAUGACGGUACCCGGAGAAGAAGCUCCGGCUAACUUCGUGCCAGCCGCCGCAGUAAUAC